GGAUUGGGAGGGUUCUACGGAGCCCGUUUGGUGAAUCUAGUGCCGAGAAAAGCCUUCUAUGUGUUGAAUUUCUAGUACCCGUACCCCAAACCGACACAGGUGGGUGGGUAGAGCAUACCUAGGGGCGCGUGAUAACUCUCUCUAAGGAACUCGGCAAAAUGGCCCUGUAACUUCGGGAUAAGGGGUGCCUGCGCGAGCAGGCCGCAGUGAAAUGGCUCUGGCGACUGUUUACCAAAAACACAGGUCUCUGCUAAGUCGUAAGACGAUGUAUAGGGGCUGACUCCUGCCCAGUGCCGGAAGGUUAAGGAAGCUGGUUAGCGCAAGCGAAGCUGGCGACCGAAGCCCCGGUGAACGGCGGCCGUAACAAUAACGGUCCUAAGGUAGCGAAAUUCCUUGUCGGGUAAGUUCCGACCCGCACGAAAGGAGUAACGAUCAGAGCGCUGUCUCGGAGAGAGACACGGCGAAAUAGGAUUGUCCGUGAAGAUACGGACUACCUGCACCCGGACAGAAAGACCCUAUGAAGCUUUACUGUAACUUGGAAUUGUGUUCGGACUUUGUCUGCGCAGAAUAGGUGGGAGGCUAUGAAACGUUCCUCGCGGGGAGCUGGAGCCAUCGUUGAGAUACCACUCUGGCAGAGUCUGGAUUCUAACCUACGGGGACAGUUCCAGGUGGGCAGUUUGACUGGGGCGGUCGCCUCCUAAAAUGUAACGGAGGCGCGCAAAGGUUCCCUCAGGCUGGUUGGAAAUCAGCCAUAGAGUGUAAAAGCAUAAGGGAGCUUGACUGUGAGACCUACAAGUCGAGCAGGGACGAAAGUCGGCUUUAGUGAUCCGACGGCACUGAGUGGAAGGGCCGUCGCUCAACGGAUAAAAGUUACUCUAAGGAUAACAGGCUGAUCUCCCCCAAGAGUUCACAUCGACGGGGAGGUUUGGCACCUCGAUGUCGGCUCGUCGCAACCUGGGGCGGUAGUACGUCCCUAGGGUUGGGCUGUUCGCCCAUUAAAGCGGCACGUGAGCUGGGUUCAGAGCGUCGUGAGACAGUUCGGUCCAUAUCCGGUGUAGGCGUAGGAGCAUUGAAAGGAUCUCUCCUUAGUACGAGAGGACCGGGAGGGACGUACCUCUGGUGUACCUGUUAUCGUGCCAACGGUAAACGCAGGGUAGCCAUGUACGGAGUGGAUAACCGCUGAAAGCAUCUAAGUGGGAAGCCCACCUUAAGAUGAGUGCUCCCUUGAGGCCACGGGAAGACGACCCGUUUGAUAGGCGCCAGGUGGAAGUGCAGUAAUGCAUGCAGCCGAGGCGUACUAAUAGGCCGAUGGCUUGUCCG
rnacentral:rRNA from 1 species